UACGUAGGGUGCGAGCGUUGUCCGGAAUUAUUGGGCGUAAAGAGCUCGUAGGCGGUCUGUCGCGUCUGCUGUGAAAACCCGAGGCUCAACCUCGGGCCUGCAGUGGGUACGGGCAGACUAGAGUGCGGUAGGGGAGAAUGGAAUUCCUGGUGUAGCGGUGGAAUGCGCAGAUAUCAGGAGGAACGCCGAUGGCGAAGGCAGUUCUCUGGGCCGUAACUGACGCUGAGGAGCGAAAGCAUGGGGAGCGAACAGG
rnacentral:rRNA from 1 species